AUUGAACGCUGGCGGCAUGCCUUACACAUGCAAGUCGAACGGCAGCAUAGGAGCUUGCUCCUGAUGGCGAGUGGCGAACGGGUGAGUAAUAUAUCGGAACGUGCCCUAGAGUGGGGGAUAACUAGUCGAAAGACUAGCUAAUACCGCAUACGAUCUACGGAUGAAAGUGGGGGAUCGCAAGACCUCAUGCUCCUGGAGCGGCCGAUAUUUGAUUAGCUAGUUGGUGGGGUAAAAGCUCACCAAGGCGACGAUCAGUAGUGGGUCUGAAAGGACGACCAUCCACACUGGGACUGAGUCACGGCCCAGACUCCUACGGGAGGCAGCAGUGUGGAAUUUUGGACAAUGGGUGCAACCCUGAUCCAGCAAUGCCGCGUGAGUGAAGAAGGCCUUCGGGUUGUAAAGCUCUUUUGUCAGGGAAGAAACGGUUCUGGAUAAUACCUGGGACUAAUGACGGUACCUGAAGAAUAAGCACCGGCUAACUACGUGCCAGCCGCCGCGGUAAUAC
rnacentral:rRNA from 1 species